GUAUUUGUAUUUUACAACAUUGCAAUGAGUGGCGAACGGGUGAGUAACACGUGGGAAACCUACCUCUUAGCAGGGGAUAACAUUUGGAAACAAAUGCUAAUACCGUAUAAUAAUUAAAACCGCAUGGUUUUAAGUUUAAAAGAUGGUCUUGCUAUCACUAAGAGAUGGUCCCGCGGUGUAUUAGUUAGUUGGUGAGGUAAUGGCUCACCAAGACAAUGAUACAUAGCCGAGUUGAGAGACUGACCGGCCACAAUGGGACUGAGACACGGCCCAUACUCCUACGGGAGGCAGCAGUAGGGAAUCUUCCACAAUGGACGAAAGUCUGAUGGAGCAACGCCGCGUGUGUGAUGAAGGGUUUCGGCUCGUAAAACACUGUUGUAAGAGAAGAAUGACAUUGAGAGUAACUGUUCAAUGUGUGACGGUAUCUUACCAGAAAGGAACGGCUAAAUACGUG
rnacentral:rRNA from 1 species